rnacentral:misc_RNA from 1 species
AACGCACAUUGCGCCCGCCGGUAUUCCGGCGGGCAUGCCUGUCCGAGCGUCAUGUCACCACUCAAGCGAAGCUUGGUGUUGGGCCUCCCUCGCCCCACGGCGGGGGGCCUCGAAGCCCCGUCAUCUUGGCGGCGGGUGUGCCCGAGCGUCGUGGAACGCAACCGCUCCGGAGCCCCGUCACGCCGCGGAUGUAAAACGAAGCCUUCUAAAGGGUUUGACCUCGGAUCAGGUAGGGAUACCCGCUGAACUUAA